rnacentral:rRNA from 1 species
UUGUCUCAAAGAUUAAGCCAUGCAUGUCUCAGUACAAGCCAAAUUAAGGUGAAACCGCGAAAGGCUCAUUAAAUCAGUUAUGGUUCCUUAGAUCGUACCCACAUUUACUUGGAUAACUGUGGUAAUUCUAGAGCUAAUACAUGCUAACAGAGUUCCGACCGGAGACGGAAGGAACGCUUUUAUUAGAACAAAACCAAUCGGCGGCAAACGUUUGCGCGUUCGUCGUCGUACAUUUUGAUGAAUCUGAAUAACUUUUUGCUGAUCGCACGGUCUAGCACCGGCGACGCAUCUUUCAAAUGUCUGCCUUAUCAACUGUCGAUGGUAGGUUCUGUGCCUACCAUGGUUGUAACGGGUAACGGGGAAUCAGGGUUCGAUUCCGGAGAGGGAGCCUGAGAAACGGCUACCACAUCCAAGGAAGGCAGCAGGCGCGCAAAUUACCCACUCCCGGCACGGGGAGGUAGUGACGAAAAAUAACGAUACGGGACUCAUCCGAGGCCCCGUAAUCGGAAUGAGUACACUUUAAAUCCUUUAACGAGGAUCAAUUGGAGGGCAAGUCUGGUGCCAGCAGCCGCGGUAAUUCCAGCUCCAAUAGCGUAUAUUAAAGUUGUUGCGGUUAAAAAGCUCGUAGUCGAAUUUGUGUCCCGCGCCGCCGGUUCAUCGUUCGCGGUGUUUAACUGGCGUGUCCGCGGGACGUCCUGCCGGUGGGCUUAGCUAAAGUACGUCGUACUUUCACGUCGUUCGUCGUGUCGUGGCUUUCGUUCGCGCGAUCGUCCGACCGGCGUGCGCGUGUCACGUUUCGUGCGUAUCAGGCGGCCCAACUUGAAAUCCCGCCGCGGUGCUCUUUACUGAGUGUCGAGGCGGGCCGGCACGUUUACUUUGAACAAAUUAGAGUGCUUAAAGCAGGCUAAAAUUUUGCCUGAAUACUGUGUGCAUGGAAUAAUGGAAUAGGACCUCGGUUCUAUUUUGUUGGUUUUCGGAACCCCGAGGUAAUGAUUAAUAGGAACGGAUGGGGGCAUUCGUAUUGCGACGUUAGAGGUGAAAUUCUUGGAUCGUCGCAAGACGGACAGAAGCGAAAGCAUUUGCCAAAAACGCUUUCAUUGAUCAAGAACGAAAGUUAGAGGUUCGAAGGCGAUCAGAUACCGCCCUAGUUCUAACCAUAAACGAUGCCAGCUAGCGAUCCGCCGACGUUCCUCCGAUGACACGGCGGGCAGCUUCCGGGAAACCAAAGCUUUUGGGUUCCGGGGGAAGUAUGGUUGCAAAGCUGAAACUUAAAGGAAUUGACGGAAGGGCACCACCAGGAGUGGAGCCUGCGGCUUAAUUUGACUCAACACGGGAAACCUCACCAGGCCCGGACACCGGAAGGAUUGACAGAUUGACAGCUCUUUCUUGAUUCGGUGGGUGGUGGUGCAUGGCCGUUCUUAGUUGGUGGAGCGAUUUGUCUGGUUAAUUCCGAUAACGAACGAGACUCUACCCUGCUAAAUAGACGUAUUUCCGACAUCUCGAAGGCCCGCCGGCUGUCCGAUUUCACUUCCUUAACCGGGGUGGUCGCGGUCGCGCGCGGUUUUUACUGUCGGCGUACAAACAAUUCUUCUUAGAGGGACAGGUGGCUUCUAGCUGCACGAGAUUGAGCAAUAACAGGUCUGUGAUGCCCUUAGAUGUUCUGGGCCGCACGCGCGCUACACUGAAGGAAUCAGCGUGUCCUCCCUGACCGAGAGGUCCGGGAAACCCGUUGAACCUCCUUCGUGCUAGGGAUUGGGGCUUGCAAUUGUUCCCCAUGAACGAGGAAUUCCCAGUAAACGCGAGUCAUAAGCUCGCGUUGAUUACGUCCCUGCCCUUUGUACACACCGCCCGUCGCUACUACCGAUUGAAUGAUUUAGUGAGGUCUUCGGACCGGUACUCGGCGGCGUUUCGACGUCGCCGAUGCUGCUGGGAAGAUGACCAAACUUGAUCAUUU